UACGUAGGGUGCAAGCGUUGUCCGGAAUUAUUGGGCGUAAAGAGCUCGUAGGCGGUCUGUCGCGUCGGCUGUGAAAACCCGGGGCUCAACCCCGGGCCUGCAGUCGAUACGGGCAGACUAGAGUGUGGUAGGGGAGACUGGAAUUCCUGGUGUAGCGGUGAAAUGCGCAGAUGUCAGGAGGAACACCGAUGGCGAAGGCAGGUCUCUGGGCCACUACUGACGCUGAGAAGCGAAAGCAUGGGGAGCGAACAGG
rnacentral:rRNA from 1 species